GAUAAUUAUAACAUUUUCUUACAGUGUGUGCCUCAGCUUUUAAAUUGGUGUUGCAUGUUCUCUUAUCAAGGCCAUUACAUAGUGGCGUGCGGCUAUAAUAUGACGGAAAAGAAAAUUUUAUAUAGAAAUCCCACGCUCACUAAUAAAAUAUGCAUCAUGCCUUUUGAAGAUUUUGAUAAAGCAAGGAGAAGUUUUGGAACGGACGAAGAUGUCAUCUUCGUGUACAAAAACAGAUGAUUAUGAUUACGUUUCAUAACUUUUAACAAUUUUUUAAUGAAAAAAUUUUCUUUUAAAAAAUUUUUCUGGGUUAACAUUUUAUAAUUUGGAAAAAAUACAUUUCUUCCUAGCAACAAUUUACUUAGAAUUGAAACUGUCCUUUCAGUUUAGGCACUUCUGUUUCUUUGUACUCCCAACGAUUCACUCUCUGAUAACGUAGGGUUCGUAAUCCGGUUGGACGACCUCAUAGAGUGAGUCGCUGUACAAUUCCAGACGUUGAGUCAUCUGCAAAAUAAAAAUAUCAAAAGACUUACGGAGCAGCCAUAGAAACUUCUCUUUACAUCUUAAUAAAUUUUGAAUAACAAUAAAUUGGAUUUAAAUGUGAAUGGAACCAAAAAUCGUGCGGUCAUCAUUUUGGUGACAAAGAAUAUAAAUCAUCACACAUACUAGUAGUGAUUUUUAAGUUAUUCUUGAUCUUCAUACAAUAUGCUCUAAUGACAUUCAUGUUUUUCUUUCAGAUUUAAAUUUCCAGA